AUAAGGAAAUUGGAGCACAGGUGGUUAACUUGGCCAAGAUCACAAAGCAAGAACACAGCACCACCAGUAUUUGAAACCUGGACAUUCUGAUCUCAGAGCCCAUUCUCACAAGCACUUGGAUAUGUUAUUUACUACUCGAUGAAAUAUAUGACUCUCUACUUUACCAGGAGUCCUUGGUUGGCACUAACAGUUAAGCAUUUGACCAAAAGGCUGGCAGUUCAAACCCACCUGGAGGUGCCUGGGAGAGAGGCCUGACGAUGCGCUUCCUAAACGUCACAACCAUGAAAACCCUACGUAGUGCAGUUCUACUCCACACACAUGGGGUCACGUGGGGUUGCCCUGAGUUGGAAUCAACUGAAUGGCAACAGGUUUUUUUUUUUUAGUUUUCUAUUUUACCUACCAUAAUGUUCUUUUCUAGCAGUUGUGAUCUUUCCUGAUGAUGUGCCUAAAGUAUUCGAGCCAAAGCCUCAGUGCUUUUAUUAGAGAACACAUAUAACUCAUUGAAAGUUUAAAGCUGAAUGGUAGUUGUAGACAGUGUAUGAUCAUGAAGCUUCCAAGAAUUAGAAACAUUUUGACCGUUGAAUUGCAGUUUAAUGGGCUGCACAGGAACAGGGAGACCCCUCUUCUGGACUUGGUCAUUUAAUGUCUCCUGAGCCUAUAUUCUCUUUUUUAUAAAAUAUUACUUUUUUUUUUUUUUUACCUCUCAGGAUUGCUAUUGGGAUAAUCAGAUAACAAAAUUUAUGUAAAAACCUUAAUACUUACUCUGUUCGUUGGCUCUUAUUUUUAACUGUUUAUGUGAAAUAAUUCAGGUUUACAGGAAAAUUGCAAUAGUACAGAGAAUUUCUGUAUACUCUUUAUGCAGAGUCAGUAAUUUUUAAACAUUUUGUCACGUUUACUUUAUCAUUCUCUCUCCCCCCUUUACACACACACACACGCACACGCAUAUGCACACGCACAGACAUGCAUAUUUAUAUUAUUAUGUUUUCUAAACCAUUUAAGAAUAGUUUGGAUGCAGUAUGCUCCUUUACCCCAUAUUUUUUUAAGAACAAGGAUGUUUUCUUACACAACCAUGUUGUUGUGUUAGGUGCCGUUUAGUUGGUUCCAACUCAUAGUAACCCUAUUGGACAGGGUGGAACUGCCCCAUAGGGUUUCUAAGGAGCAGCUGAUGGAUUUGAACUGCUGACCUUUUGGUUAGCAGCUGAGUUGUUAACCACUGCGCCACCAUAGUAAUGUUACGGUCAGGAAAUUUUAAUGUUGCGACAAUGUAUAGUCUGUAAUCCAGUUUUGCCAUUUUGUCAGUAAUUUUUUUUUAAGCAUUCUUUUCUUCUGGUAUAGGAUUUGGUCAAGAAUCAUGUAUUUCAUCUAGUUGUUUUAGCUAUUUAAUCUCUUUUAAUCUGGAGUAGUUCCUUAGCCUUUCUUUGUCUUUCAUGACCUUUUGAAGACUACAGUCCAGUUAUUUUGUGUCAUGUUAAUCAAUUUGGGUUUGCCGAUGUUUCCUUACGAUUAGAUUCAGAUUAAAUAACAUCAUGUGUCCCCAGGCUAUUACAUCUGGAGGCAUAGGAUACUGUCUUAGUUACACAGUACUGCUACUGUAACAGAAAUAUCACAAGUGGAUGGCUUUAAAGAACAGAAAUUAAUUUUUCCAUAGUUCUAGAGGUUAAAGUCCAGAUCACAGUCUGUGACAUGGCAGUUCUUUCUGUGGGCCUCUCUCCUCAAUUUUGAGGACUGCUGUCAAUCCUUGGCAUUCCUUGGUGCUCCAUGGCCUCAGUUGUUACAACUCUGAAGUAAUUAGGUUUAGGACUCACCCGACUCUGGUGUGACUUCAUUACAUAACAAAAGAAAACUGUUUCCAAACAGGGUUGUCUUUACAGCUGCAGAGGUUAGGAUUUCAAAACAUCUGGGGGGACACAAUUUAAUUCAUAACAUUCCACCCUUUGGCCUCCAAAAUUAAUGUCCUUCCCACAUGCAAAACACAUUUACCCUACCAUGUUAUCCCAAAAGUCUUAAUCUGUUCUAGCAUUAACUCAUCUUCUAAAUCAUCUAAAUUGAGCAUGAAUGGUACUCUGGGUGUAUUCCCCCCGGAGCAAAAUUCCUUUCUAUCUGGGGACCUGUGAAACCUAGAACGUCAUCUGCUUCUAAAGUACAAUGAUAAACUAGGCAUAAUGUAGACAUUUCCAUUCCAAAUAGGAGAAAUUGUAGGGGAAGAAGGGGUUUAGAUCAAACAAGUCUAAAACCCAACAGGGGAAAUCUCAUUAGCUCUCGAGGCUUGAAAAUGAUCUGUUUUCUAGAUACAUCUGGGCAGUGGCCCCUGCCCACUGUACUCGGGGCAUUGACAGUGAUCUCCAGAUUCUGGGUGGAGGUCUCUCAGUUCUGGGCAUCAGCACCACCUUCCAGGCCACAGCAAUGGCAACCCCUUACUCUUGGCUUUGGGUGGCUCAGUUCUCCUGGCCAACUGACAUGGCAGCCCCACACCUCAACUUUGCAUGGCAGUCCAUUCUCUUGGCCUACCCAAAAGGCUGUACCAACCUCUGGAACUGAGGUGGUGAUGACCCUACUCUUUGAAACUUAGGCAGUAGCUCCACUCUUCAAAACCGAGGAAGUGUUGGCUCUACUCUUUGAAACAUGGAAAGUGGCGGCCCUGCCCCUUGUGCUCUUUUUGACAGUUCUCCGGUUUCUAAGUUCCAGGGAUGUCCCUUUCUUUUCUUGGAGGACAACAGUUAUUUGCAACCAAGUAACUCCAUUGGAGGAGUCCUGUGGUGCAGUGGUUAAAGCACUUGGCUGCUAACCGAAAGGUCAGCAGCUCAAAUCACCCAGCCGCUUGGAAGAAAAAUGUGGCAAUCUGUUUCUGUAAAGAUUUACAGCGUUGGAAGGUCUAUGGGACAGCUCUGCUCUGUCCAGUGGGGUCACUAUGAGUUGGAAUUAACUCAAUGGCAACAUGUUUGGUUUGGUUUAGCUCCGUUGGCCUGUUUCUUGCCUGUAGAAUUGCAGGAGGCAGACAGAUUUUCUUCAUCUCCUGCUUGUCCCUGACCUUUUAAAUCUAAAUCGACAGGCCUUCUACUGAGGUUAUUGAUUAGGUUUAUCAGUCACAGGCCUAUUUGCUUUAGCAAAAGAUUGUGUUUUUACACCCUUAGUUUUUACAAUAA